GCAAUUCAUGGACAGAUCUCGGAUGCCUUCUCUGCUCCUAUCUCAGGACACGGAGAAGGCGUUCGACAGGGUCAAAUGGCCAUACUUAUUUACGCUUCUGAGGCACUGGGGCUUUCCGGCCCCGUUUGUGAGCGCCGUAGGAGUCCUCUAGAGACCUGCGGGCAACGUGUAGUUCUCCCUGGGGAAGGUGGCAACACAUUUCCUAUAAGUAAUGGAACCAGGCAGGGGUGUCCCUUGUCUCACCUUCUAUUCGCCAUCGCACUGGAACCAUUUCUGUAGCGGAUAAGAGAGGC